CUGAUGCCUCUUGGAUUUGGGCACGUGUGGGAGGAAGGUUGGGGCUUUUAGAGAAACGUGAAGGGGGAUGAGCGAGUUGGGCAGCAGCUCUAUUCCAGACUGCAGGGCAGGAGAACGGGAAGCUGAGCCAGUGGCAAGGACCAAGGGGGACUGCAAGGGGGAAAUUCAGUGUUCCCAAGGAGGGAAGGACCUCCUUCCAGUGCCAAAGGACCCUUGGUGGUGGGCAGGCAGGGCCGGUAGAGUGCGAUUCAGCCCCAGAGAGGCCUCCAGGCAUUUCAGAGCCCUCAGCAGCCAGGGCCUGGCCGGGGGCCCAGCAUCCUGUGUUUGGGGGGUGGGGGCACCAGGUUGAAUAGAAGUCUGUCCAGACUGGUAAACAUCAAGCGGCCCUCCUGCGGGAGCUUUCAGAAUGAGGUAUUUAACCCUCACCCUGCAGGGAACAAGCCCAGCUGAUUCUAAAUCGGGGAGAGAAAACCGAAGGGAAGAGACAGGAGUCUGGCCCAAGCUGGUCGGUGGUCUGGCCAAGGCUCCCAAGCGAACCUGAAGAAGCGUCCAGAUGUGCCAGAGGCAGGAAUACUCAGAACCGGGAGGCGGGCGCUAUUACGGGCCCCAGUUUGCA
rnacentral:lncRNA from 1 species